CUCUCUCUCUCUCUCUCUCUCUCUCGUUUCUGCUUACAACCAGCUAAAAAAGAAGAAGUUGGCGGCUGUCACCAGCCUAGGUUGCCCCUCUGUCUCCUUCCGGCCAAGUAACACCACCCCAAACACCCACUUCGAUCCUUACUGCCCUUUGGACCUCGACAGUCGACGACAAGAGAAAGUAGAUCAAGAUCUGAAGUUAGGGUUUAAUGGCAGCUAGGAUUUUCAGAUGAGGCAUUUCGUGACUAGAAAUCGAGGGUGAGACACUUGCGAUGUACUACACGGCGAAGCUAGGGUUUUUUAAACCCACGACGAGACCUUGGGCAAACCGGAUUCACAACGAACACUACCAUUCCAGGUCUGGUUUCAAAGACCACCUCAAAUUUGUGAGAGAUAGAGGGAAAAUAAGAAAAAUGGCGUUUUAUAUCUGUGUGUGAGAGAGAUAGAAUCGAUUUUUUGGUUUUGUAUAUGUGUGUGUGUGUUUAAUCUGUGUGUAAGUGUGUUUUUUUUGUGUUGAGUCUGUUGAUAAAUCGAUGUAUGUUUGUGUUGAUAUGUUUAUGCGUUCUUCAGAUUUCGUGUAUGUGUGUAUGUGUUCAUCUGAUUUUGUGUGUGCUUGUUCAGCUUUGGGUGGUGGUGGUCGAACGGGGGUGGUGGUAGAUGUUCUUGAGUGCUCUUGAGGAGGAAGAAGAAAAUAGGUAAAAAGAUGUGUGUAGGAUGGAUGAAUGUGUAUGUAUGUGUGUGAGAGAGAGAGAGAGAGUAUUUCCUUUUUUUAUUUCUAUAAUUAAAAAAAUAGAAAAAGAAAAUACAAAGGGCAAAAUCGUCCUUUUAUAAAAAAUUAAACCAAAAUGGACCAAACUCGCGACAAAAUGGAAACUUUUGGACCAUUAAUGCUAGUCAAAACCUGUUUGGCCCAAAGUGACAAUUUUCGAUGUCCUUGCAAUUUUGUCUUAGUAAAUUAAUAACUUACAAUGGUCUGCUUAAAAUAUUAAAAUUUAUGAUCAAAUUAACCUCG
rnacentral:lncRNA from 1 species